CUUUUGUUGAUAUAAGGGAAUGUGUUAACUUUUUGGAGAGUCGUAAAUGGCGUGAUGAGCGGUCCAGAACGCAUUAUGAGAGUGGUGUUAAGCUUGGUAUAGGAACCUUCAAUUUGAUGAUAUCAAUGCUUCCAAAGAAAAUCAUGCGGCUACUGGAAUUUGUUGGCUUCUCAGGAAAUAGGGAAUUUGGACUUGAAGAAUUAGAGAAAGGCCGUGUUCUUCAGAGUUUAAGAGCACCACUAUGCUCCUCUGUAAUAAUUGCAUUCCAUACUAUCAUCACCCAUGUGUUUGGUAUGUGUGUAUGUACUCUCUAGCUGUUCCCAAUACUUUCAACCACUCAUAUUUUGUUUUUAAAAUACAACCUAGUAGAACCAAUCUACAAUUUUACCAUACAUAGCCAUUGACCUUGUAAU